CAGUCGCCGCGGUAAUACGUCGGUGGCAAGCGUUGUCCGGAAUUAUUGAGCGUAAAGGGCUCGCAGGCGGUUUCUUAAGUCUGAUGUGAAAGCCCCCGGCUCAACCGGGGAGGGUCAUUGGAAACUGGGAAACUUGAGUGCAGAAGAGGAGAGUGGAAUUCCACGUGUAGCGGUGAAAUGCGUAGAGAUGUGGAGGAACACCAGUGGCGAAGGCGACUCUCUGGUCUGUAACUGACGCUGAGGAGCGAAAGCGUGGGGAGCGAACAGGAUUAGAUACCCCUGUAGUCCCUGUCUAUUAUAC
rnacentral:rRNA from 1 species